GACGUAGGGCGCGAGCGUUGUCCGGAUUUAUUGGGCGUAAAGAGCUCGUAGGCGGCUUGUUGCGUCGACCGUGAAAACCCGGGGCUCAACUUCGGGCUUGCGGUCGAUACGGGCGGGCUAGAGUUCGGUAGGGGGAGACUGGAAUUCCUGGUGUAGCGGUGAAAUGCGCAGAUAUCAGGAGGAACACCGGUGGCGAAGGCGGGGUCUCUGGGGCCGACACUGACGCUGAGGAGCGAAAAGCCAGGGGGAGCAAAACGGGG
rnacentral:rRNA from 1 species